rnacentral:rRNA from 1 species
CGUCAAAUCAUCAUGCCCCUUAUGACCUGGGCUACACACGUGCUACAAUGGCCGGUACAAAGGGCAGCGAAGCCGCGAGGCGGAGCCAAUCCCAAAAAGCCGGUCUCAGUUCGGAUUGCAGGCUGCAACUCGCCUGCAUGAAGUCGGAAUUGCUAGUAAUCGCGGAUCAGCAUGCCGCGGUGAAUACGUUCCCGGGUCUU